AAAAACAGGUACAGUAUACGAUGCGGUGCGCCUGCACGUGACCAUACAGUGUGACGGUGGAAGGACGGCUCACACACAGAACGGGCGAGUACUUCAGAGUGCACGCAGAGGACGGCGCCGCAGUCACUCAGGGCUGGUAUGGCUGUCUUUCCAUUUCAAAGCACUGGUUGGCUAGGCUUCUAAAAUACUAUCGCAUAUCGGCUCUGAGCAGAGAAUUCAGGACAAAGGUGACACUGGACCAGAGGGGACAUUCAAAGACGAUGUUAGGAGAGUGGGUCUGGGACAGGGCGAAGCGACCCACAUGCCGAGGACUCCGGUGGCAGAGACUGUCAGCAGCCUAGGGAAGUGGCCGACUCCGGCAAGCGCCCUUCCUCAAAGCCCAC